rnacentral:lncRNA from 1 species
GUGUUCUUCAAGGAUGGUGUAUGGACCUUCCCAUUUUGGGCCCAGCUUUCCUUGAUUUUCCUUUUUGCUAGCUUCAUUGUUUCUGAGGACUAGGUCCCCUGGCUUAAAUCGUUCAUUCUUAACCUUCUUGUUGUAGUAGGCUUCCAUUUUCUGCUUAUAUUUGGCUUCUUGGAUUGCGGCUUGAUCUCAGGCUUCCUCUAGGAGUUGUAAAUUCAACAUGGUCUCUUUUUGGGAUUACGGCCUCGGAUCCAAAUACCAAGCUAUAAGGUGUUUUCUUGUGGCUUGUUUUUUCGGUUGUUCUAAUUGCCCAUAGAACACUAGGCAAUUCUUCGAGCCAAUUGCUUUCAUAUCUUCCUAAUCUUGUCUUGAUGCCUUCCACUAUGCUUCGAUUUGCCCUUUCAACCUGGCCAUUUGAUUGCGGGUAAGCCACUGAGCUGAAGAUCUGGUUGAUCCUGUACUCUUUACACCAAAGGCUGAAAGGCUUUUCAGCGAAUUGCUUCCCAUUGUCGGUGACAAUCACUCCCGGCAAUCCAUAGCGGCAGAUGGUGUUUUCCCAAACGAAGUCAAUGACCUGUUUGCCUGUGAUCUUUGCAAGGGGUUUAACCUCGGGCCAUUUGGUGAAAUAGUCUAUUGCCACUAGCAAGAAUUUCACUCCUCCUUUGCUUGGAGGGAAUG